UGAGAAUCAAUUUGUGAGGCAGGAAACCUGCUAGCAGGACUCUCGCUUUGCUGAGUUAAUUUUUCCUUUUUCCUUUCCACCCAAUAAGUUCCAUUUUCCUCACCCUUCUAUGUAUCCACAAGCCUAAUCAUUCCUGGUUGUGUGACAAGAGGCCAGUUUUAGCUGAACUAAGGAGAAAGUUCUGCAACAUUUUUGGCAUCCAGAUAUGGGGCUCGAGGAAAGGAACCUGUAGGAGGAUGUGAGACAGCACCUCGGGGCACAGAUGGCAGGCAGAGCCCCAGACUCGGAAACUGGAAGUAGUUCUCCAGGGUUGAUUUUAGGAGCAGAAGACCACAGCCUGAACUUGAUUAUCAUCUUGGCAGCUACAGAAAGGCUGAGAACUGACAUUGCCAUCACAUCUGUUCACUUCUCCCACUGAAAAUUGGUAUGGUGGUACUGAUGAAGUAAUUGAAACUACCAGAACUUGGGAAUGCCUUGGACAGAGACACUGUUCCAUCAUUAUCAAGUAUUCAGUGCGAUAGCUGAGAAAUCUGAGACCAUUCUAAUCUUCAUUAUAUUGGUACAAGAAAGGUGAUUAUAAACAUUUACAUUUGUAGUUGGGGAUGAAAGAUUUGAACUGUGCCUACCAGAGGGUCCUGAUCUGAAAAGAUCUAUGCAGAAGAAGGAUACCAUAUUGUUGACUUGAUCCAUUCAGAUUUUAGAAGCCAGCUGUCUGUACCCCACAAGUCUCGGGUUUGCAUAUCCACUAUUGCUGCUCAUAGCUCAGCAUUUCUACACGUUUCACUCUCCUAGACACAGCCAUCUGCUUGUACCUGCUUAUGCGUAUAAAGGUCUAUGCCUUAA
rnacentral:lncRNA from 1 species